AACACGUGGACAACCUACCUUCGGGCGGGGCACAACUUGUCGAAAGACGGGCUAAUACCUCAUAAGACCACGGGAUCCUCGGAUCCUGAGGCAAAAGGUGACCUCUACCUGUAAGUUAUCACCUGGAGAUGGGUCCGCGCACCAUUAGCUUGUUGGUGAGGUAACGGCUCACCAAGGCCGAGAUGGUUAGUUGGUCUGAGAGGACGACCAGCAACACUGGAACUGAGACACGGUCCAG
rnacentral:rRNA from 1 species